GGUUGUUGCUGGCCCCCCAAACGGGGCAUGUGCACGCUCUGUUUACACAUCCACUCACACCUGUGCACCCUCCGUAGUUCUAUGGUUCGGAAGACCCCGUCUUCCUUCCGUGGCUCUACGUCUUUACACACACGCUGUAGCGACGUCUCAUGGAAUGUUUUUAUGCGUUUAACGCGAUACAAUACAACUUUCAGCAACGGAUCUCUUGGCUCUCGCAUCGAUGAAGAACGCAGCGAAAUGCGAUAAGUAAUGUGAAUUGCAGAAUUCAGUGAAUCAUCGAAUCUUUGAACGCACCUUGCGCCCCUUGGUUAUUCCUUGGAGCAUGCCUGUUUGAGUAUCAUGAACACCUCAACUCUCGUGGUCUUCCACGAUGAGCUUGGACUUUGGAGGUUUGCUGGCCCUGCGGCCGGCUCCUCUCAAACGAAUCAGCUUGCCAAUGUUUGGUGGCAUCACGGGUGUGAUAACUAUCUACGCUCGCGGUCGUCUGCCAGGUUACCCUCAGCGAUGAAGGUUCAUUGGGGCUCACAAACGUCUCUCCUCAGCGAAGACAACUUUUGAACGUUCGAUCUCAAAUCAGGUAGGACUACCCGCUGAACUUAAGCA
rnacentral:misc_RNA from 1 species